rnacentral:rRNA from 1 species
UACGUAGGUGGCAAGCGUUGUCCGAAUUUAUUGGGUUUAAAGGGUGCGUAGGCGGUCUAUUAAGUCAGUGGUGAAAUAUGGCAGCUCAACUGUCAAGGUGCCAUUGAUACUGAUGGACUUGAGUGAAGUCGAAGUAGGCGGAAUUGACGGUGUAGCGGUGAAAUGCUUAGAUAUCGUCAAGAACACCGAUAGUGAAGACAGCUUACUAGGCUUAUACUGACGCUGAGGCACGAAAGUGUGGGGAUCAAACAGG